rnacentral:rRNA from 1 species
CGAAGACGGGUAGGGGGUGUGAGAGCAUGGCCCCCCACAAUGGGACUGAGGCACGGGCCAUACUCCUACGGGAGGCAGCAGCGGGGAAUAUUGCGCAAUGGACGGAAGUCAGACGCAGCGACGCCGCGUGGGUGAGGAAGGCCUUCGGGUUGUAAAGCCCUUUUCAGGGGAGCGAGAAAGGACGGUACCCUUGGAAUAAGCGUCGGCUAACUACGUGCCAGCAGCCGCGGUAAGACGUAGGACGCAAGCGUUAUCCGGAUUUACUGGGCGUAAAGCGCCUGUAGGCGGUCAAGUAAGUCGGAUGUGAAAGCCCCGUGCUCAACGCGGGGAAGCCAUUCGAUACUGCGUGACUAGAGAACGGCAGAGGGAAACGGAAUUUCUGGUGUAGCGGUAAAAUGCGCAGAGAUCAGAAAGAACACCGAUGGCGAAGGCAGUUUCCUAGGCCGCAUCUGACGCUGAGAGGCGAAAGCUAGGGGAGCAAACAGGAUUAGAGACCCUGGUAGUCCUAGCUGUAAACGAUGGAUGCUAGGUGUGGGCCGGAAAGGUCCGUGCCGUAGUUAACGCGAUAAGCAUCCCGCCUGGGGAGUACGGCCGCAAGGCUUAAACUCAAACGAAUUGACGGGGACCCGCACAAGCAGCGGAGCGUGUGGCUUAAUUCGAUGCUACACGCAGAACCUUACCUGGGCUUGACAUGUAGGUGGUAGUGAAGUGAAAGCGGAGCGACCCUUCGGGGAGCCUACACAGGUGCUGCAUGGCUGUCGUCAGCUCGUGCCGUGAGGUGUCGGGUUAAGUCCCGUAACGAGCGCAACCAUUGUCCUUAGUUACAAGUGUCUAAGGAGACUGCCGGUGACAAACCGGAGGAACCUGGGGAUCACGUCAAGUCAGCAUGGCCCUUAUGUCCAGGGCGACACACACGCUACAAUGGUCGGUACAAUGGGCAGCGCAGCCGCGAGGUGAAGCGAAUCCCAACAAAGCCGAUCCCAGUUCGGAUUGCAGGCUGCAACCCGCAUGCAUGAAGCCGGAGUUGCUAGUAACCGCGCGUCAGCCAUCCCUGCGCUGAAUACGUUCCCGGGUCUUGUACACACCGCCCGUCACGUCAUGGGAGUUGGUAACGCCUGAAGCCGGUAG